ACCUGGCUGGCUCAGUAGGUAGAGCGUGUGAUUUUUGAUCUCUGGGUUGUGAGUCUGAGCCCCAUGUUGGGUG
rnacentral:tRNA from 1 species